rnacentral:rRNA from 1 species
CGGGUGUGUAAGCGUAGCGAUACAUUGAGCUAACCGAUACUAAUGAACCGUGAGGCUUAACCUUACAACGCCGAAG